AGGGCACCACCAGGAGUGGAGCCUGCGGCUUAAUUUGACUCAACACGGGGAAACUCACCCGGCCCGGACACCAUAAGGAUUGACAGAUUGAUAGCUUUUUCAUGAUUUGGUGGAUGGUGGUGCAUGGCCGUUCUUAGUUCGUGGAGCGAUUUGUCUGGUUUAUUCCGAUAACGAGCGAGACUCUAGCCUACUAAAUAGUCUGCACAUUGCUUCUGUGUUGCAGUACUUCUUAGAGGGAUUUUCGGUGUACAGCCGCACGAGAUUGAGCAAUAACAGGUCUGUGAUGCCCUUAGAUGUCCGGGGCUGCACGCGCGCUACACUGGCGAAAUCAGCGUGCUUGUCCUUGCUCGAAAGAGCUUGGUAAACCAAUGAAAAUUUGCCGUGAUUGGGAUCGGAAAUUGCAAUUAUUUUCCGUGAACGAGGAAUUCCAAGUAAAUGCGAGUCAUCAACUCGCGUUGAUUACGUCCCUGCCCUUUGUACACACCGCCCGUCGCUGCCCGGGACUGAGCCAUUUCGAGA
rnacentral:rRNA from 1 species